UCAUAUUCUCGGCCUUUUGGCUAAGAUCAGGUGUAGUAUCUGUGCUUAGUUUAUUAUCCGAUACGUCCCCUAUCUGGGGACCAUAUAUUAAACAGAUUUUUGGAACAGAGAGAUGGAAGAAGAGCUUGCGCUGUCCAUUCCAAAGAGUUUUUUUUUUUUGCCGACAAUCAUAAGAUUGGUUUCCAUGAGG